rnacentral:rRNA from 1 species
UACGUAGGGUGCGAGCGUUAAUCGGAAUUACUGGGCGUAAAGCGUGCGCAGGCGGUUGUGCAAGACAGAUUUGAAACCCCCAGGCUCAACCUGGGGACGCCACCCGAUACUGCUGUGACUUGAGUCCGGUAGGGGAGCGUGGAAUUCCUGGUGUAGCGGUGAAAUGCGCAGAUAUCAGGAGGAACACCAGCGGCGAAGGCGGCGCUCUGGGCCGGAACUGACGCUGAGGAGCGAAAGCGUGGGUAGCAAACAGG